rnacentral:lncRNA from 1 species
AGGCCGGCUUCCUAGGAACCAUGAUCUUUCGAUAAGGUCCACCCUUUGGUGACUCUAGCUUUACACCAAGAUCGGCUUUAUGAUGAUCUCCAUGAUCUGACUCCACACUGGUAGCUUCACAUCGGUAUUCUCCCAAUGGCAUCAACUUUUAUCCAGGUAGGCUUCUGGUUGAGAUUGGUUGGAUAAGGUCAGUUAAGUGAUGAGGAUCUACCCCAAUAGCUCUAGUUUCACCAAAUGAGAAAAUGAAUAGAGGAAAUGAGCAGGAUCCGACCGAGCUCCCCCAUGGUUGAUCCUUCAGAAGCUGAACUCUUGGAGGGCAGAUCAUCCAAGGGCUGGUGGAGGAGGUGGCGGAAGCUCCCCCUCUCGAGGGUGGUUAAAGUGCCUCUGGCCCCUACAUGACAGACUUCGAUGAGAGGCAAAAGCUCACCUAGACCCUCCCC